AUAGAGGUUGUUGUGCUUCCUUUCUGUGCUUCAAAGGAUCACUUUGGAAAAUCUGCUCCAGACAAGUGUUCCACGGUUCAUGGGAGAGUUUGGUCGCCAUGGGAAGAUGAGACUGUUGUUUGGAAGGUGAAGUUUAAGCCAAGCAUAAAGACUGGGAAAGUACAGCCGGAGGCAAUCGGGAGAUUCAGCCAGCACUCCACUCCCAAGGCCAAGGGAAUCUUUGAAAAUGUAAGCAUUUCUCUCCUUGGAACAGUCAAGGAUUUCUUUCUCUCUGCAGGGUUGGUAUCUCAUUUGCAAGUUUUAAGAGAGCUUUGCGAGCUUGAAGGGUUUGGGACUCUGGGGCAGGAAUGAACCAGGAGCUUACGUUUGUCCCCCUCGGUGCUGCCAUCUAGAUUCUGUGCCUGCUUAAUGUCCUUUGCAAUGACUGAUUGCAUAACUGCCCUUUGGCUACAUAUUAACUAUUUUUUGACUUCACGAUUUCUCUCGGUUUCCACUGCAUGCUCACCACUAAGUUUCCACAGUGUUUUUGAAUGAUAACAUAGCAGCAGAAUACAAAAGUUAAUAGGAAAUUAUCCUUUUCUAAAAGAAUUGAAUGAAUGUGGUAUUUUUACUUUAAGCUUUGGAUUUUGUAAUAGCUUUCCCAUCACACUGGUCUUGAAAGAUAACUCACACAGCUAAUAGGCAGACGUGCCCAGAGCUCACAACACAGAGCAUGCUUCCAUUCCUGCUACCUCUGUCAAGUUUGUGGCUGUGUAAAUGCCACUGGCUUGCCACCAACCUCUAAUGUAGAGCCCUUCUCCCACAGGAGCGACCCCCACGGAGGAGGUUGCAUCCAUGUUGAGUAUACAGAGGUGUUCCCACUGGGUGCCCCCAGCUCCUCCUGGACCCCCACUGCCCUGCAGGGCACCUUAUCUGUGGCUGGCAGUCCCAACAUGCUGAAGCUGUGCACUGGGUGGCUGCUGCUCAAAUGGAGAAUGUGUUGUUGAUUAC
rnacentral:lncRNA from 12 species